GCUGUUUCAUAAAACAGGUUUACCAAACAAGCCAGGCUUAUUUAAGUUAUUCUGACUUAUUCUGAACCAAAUAAACUGACAAUAACGCCAUGUCCCACGUACA